UGGUAUCAUUCAUGAGAAUCGGUGAAAUAUAAGAUACUCGAUGAAAUACAGACGUUUUUAUUGGGCUGUGAUAAGUUUGACGUGGUAUCACCAUUGCAACGGAUAUUUUCUCCAACCCAACUAAGUUCCAUCAAACUCAACCAAAUCUGACCCUAAUUGAGCUAACCACUUGGUUCGUACACGUUUGGUCAUCAAUUAAUGCAACUC
rnacentral:lncRNA from 1 species